AGUUGGAGUUGUCUUUUUUUUUUUUUUUUAAGAAAUAGUUAGCAUGCUAUCCGUUUUGUUUAUUUUAUUUUAUUUAGAAAUAAAUUUAGUUGAAAAUGUGAAUCAGGUAGGAUUCGAACUUGGGAUCUCGGAUACCAACCAGCAACCACCUAGCCCUUUGCCACUUACUCUAUGAACGAUCGGUCUCAAGUUAGAGUUGUCA
rnacentral:lncRNA from 1 species